AUGCCCACUGGUGCUACUGGAGACACAGGCCAGGCUGCACAGUGCCGGAGGCUCUGGGGUACUUCCCUCCACGUGCGCGGCCUCACAGGUCAGUGGAAACAAGAAAUUCCCCAAUCCACAGCCACGAUGACUUCAAAAUACUUCCUGAAGGCGUCAGGCCAUGAAGCUGCGACCUGCGAGGACACAGCAAGCUGGGUUCCCUCCCCGCCCCGCGGGUGCUUCCCGCCACCCCGCUCGCCUAGGCAUCGCAGUGACAACGCGGCGACGCCGACCACAGGUGGUUGCGAGGCCACAGCGAGAUUCCGAUUCCGAGGGAAAAGAAUAAGGAGAGAAGCGCACAUCUGCUGGGCAGAAGGCCCGUUUCCGCGCCGUCCUGCCCAGGCCUCCGGGCAUCCUUCACCUCAGGCAAGAGAAAAUCCAACCUCACUUGUCACAGGCGCGGGACGUGCGCGUUCCCUUCGGGAGCACAAGAACCAAGGCAGGAUUCGGACCCAGACCAGGCGGCAAAGCCGCUCUCUCUCUCUCCCACCCCCAGGCCGCGCAGAACCUCCAGUCCACCCUCGCCCCAGCCCUCCCUUACUCACCCUCCACGUACUCUACCCCGACGCGGAACUGCCGGGAGCCCUCCCACUCAGGCUGCGGGGGGAGAAAAACAAACCUGGAGCCAAACGGCGUACAUGCGCAGAAGGCCCGAAGCAGCUCCCGCUACUGGGACCAGAAAAUUUGUUCUCCAUCAAACUUGACAAAAAGAGUAUGUAUUCCCGUGUGCCAGGGUGCCAGGUCACCACAUAACAAUUAUGUUGGGUUUGCAUAUUUGAUGAUGUGUCGCUACCAGGAUGCCAUCUGGGUCUUCGCCAACAUCCUCCUCUAGAUCCAGAGGACCAAGAGCAUGUUCCAGAGGACCACAUACAAGUAUGAGAUGAUUAACAAGCAGAAUGAGCAGACGCAUGCGCUACUGGCCAUUGCUCUCACGAUGUACCCCAUAGGUAUCAAUGAAAGUAUUCACCCCCAGCUACAGAAGAAAUAUGGGGACAAGAUGCUGCACAUGCAGAAAGGUGACCCACAAGUCUAUGAAGAACUUUUCAGUUACUCCUGCCCCAAGUUCCUGUCGCCUGUAUUGCCCAACUACGAUAAUGUGCACCCCAAUUACCACAAAGAGUCCUUCCUGCAGCAGUUGAAGGUGUUUUCUGAAGUACAGCAGCAGGCCCACCUUUCAACCAUCCCCAGCUUCCUCAAGCUUUACAUCACCAUGCCUGUGGCCAAGCUGGCUGGCUUCCUGGACCUCACAGAGCAGGAGUUCAGGAUCCAGCUUCCUGUCUUCAAACACAAGAUGAAGAACCUGGUGUGGACCAGCGGCAUCACAACCCUGGAUGGUGAAUUUAGUCAGCCUCAGAGGUUAACUUCUACAUUGAUAAUGACAUGAUCCACAUCGCAGACACCAAGGUCGCCAGGUGCUAUGGGGAUUUCUUCAUCCAUCAGAGCCACAAAUUCGAGGAGCUUAAUCGAACUCUGAAGAAGAUGGGACAGAGACCCUGACAACAUUUACACACAUUAUUCAGGAACCUGUUUUGAUAUAUGAUAGGCAGGAAGUGUUUUUGCUACCAUGAAACCUUUACCUAGAUCAGCCAUCAGCCUGUCAACUCAGUUAACAAAUUAAGGACCAAAGUGUUUCAAGUGGAUAUCAGUAAAGGAUCUUUGGAGCCAG